rnacentral:rRNA from 1 species
GUAGGCAGCGAGCGUUGUUCGGAGUUACUGGGCGUAAAGCGUGCGUAGGCGGUUUUGUAAGUUUGGUGUGAAAUCUCCCGGCUCAACUGGGAGGGUGCGCCGAAAACUGCAAGGCUGGAGUGUGGGAGAGGUAGGCGGAAUUCCUGGUGUAGCGGUGAAAUGCGUAGAUAUCAGGAGGAACACCUGUGGUGUAGACGGCUUACUGGACCAUGACUGACGCUGAGGCACGAAAGCGUGGGGAGCAAACAGGAUUAGAUACCCUGGUAGUCCACGCCCUAAACGAUGCAUACUUGGUGUGGGCAGUUCAUUCUGUCUGUGCCGGAGCUAACGCGUUAAGUAUGCCGCCUGGGGAGUACGGUCGCAAGGCUGAA